UUAUAAUCACAUAAAAAUUAGCACAAAAAAAAGUAUUCAACAAUUAAAAAAUUAUCAAAUCUCUGUGUUAUAUAAGUUAUGAUACUAUAUUUGAAUAAAGUGUAAUAUACCUUUUUAAUUUGUAUUCUUUAACUAAUUUAAGCUAACUAAUAUAUUUGCUAAUCUUAUAUCUAUCAAAACCGACUAUCGUUUCUUAUCUCUAUAGUAUUUUUGCAAGACUUUUUUGGUGGAUUUGGAUAAAAAUGCAUUCGGGUCAUAUGGUACAUUCCCCUAUUAAAUAAAUAUGGUGCACUCCUAUGUUAUUAGCUAAAAUAUUUAGAUUAUAAUUCAGAGUCAUAUCAUUAAUAAAACUAAUAUUAAUAAAAUAAAUGACUUUUUGGCAAGACGGAUUUGGAGGGACAUGUUUUUGAAUCAACAUUAAUAAAAAAGUAAAAUAUAAUUAAUCCACCGUUUCAAUAUGGGUUAAAUCUUUAAUUUAUUAUUUUUUAAGACCACUAAUAUUAAACAUAUCAAAUCAUCCUAAUUUAGAAAAAAUUAU
rnacentral:sRNA from 1 species